CCUCUGACUCAUCGUCUCCAUUCACCCAUUGCGAAACAGCUCCAGUCUCCACAAUCCACCGCCAAGAGCAGCUAGUUCGUCGCGCUACGAGGACAACAUUUAGUUUGAAAGUGAAGCAACAAAAUGCCGUUCUUUAGAACUCGUCCUCGGUAUGGAAUCAAACAUGCACAGAGUUGUCAUUAGGGUUUUCCUUAUCUGCGGGUCGUGGAAGUCUCCCUUUCUAGGAUUUUUGAGGAAGCCACUUGCUAGGAACUGAGCAUAGCAAUCUUAAAUGAUAGGAAGAAGCUAAGCUGCAUGAAUCACAAGUAAAACCAUCUGUUGCUGCUGAAGAUGUUCUUCUGAUCAGGGAGGGGAAUAUAGACAAUUAUUUGUCAGUGGCUUGAAUAACUCAAAAGAAGAAGAGGUUUCACUCCUUAAAAAUAUUCACUGGAAAGAGUUGUCAUUGUUGGUAUAUGUUUGGCUAGGAUUCCUUCUAGUUCAGAUAGUCAAGACCUACACCGAACCGUGUUCAGCUGCCUACUUGAUCUGAACGCAUGGCAGGUAUUAACAAAUCUUGAUAAAUAAAAUUCCGUCUUCAAAUAUAAAUAAUGUAAUAUUUUUUUUAUGACAAUUAAGUGUCUAUAGCUGCAUCUGUGACAAUAUAUGAAGCAGUAAGCUUAUACAAAGGUAGUAAAAUAAUUGAAUCAAAGUAAAAAGAACUGAAUCCAACAGCUUGGAAACCACAUCUACUUUUUCUUGUGAUUUGCACGGGUUAGGCGGAAAUUUCAUAUUGGGUCCCCUUUUCUUAGAGCUUGGUAUUCUCCCUCAGUGUUGGCUGACUGAAGUAUUCAUCAAAUUAUCAACUGCAGGAAUAAGAAAUGUAGAUACAACAAUCAGUAGAUGACCAAUAAGAAGAUGAAGUAGAUAUUGGAGGACCAAGAGGAAGAUGAAGUAGAUAUUGGGAGGAAGAUGAAGUAGAUAUUGGUGACGCUAAUUUUCUGUUUUAGCUUUUUUUUCAAAACUGUUUUGUUUGUUUUGUUUGAUAGGGAUAUUUUUGGAUUGUUAUAUGAUUUUAUGAGAAUUUUUAUAAUUAAAAAU